AAGCUGCAGCAGACAUGAUGGGCCCGGGGCGAAGCGGGCGCUCGGUGGCCGAUAGAUGGCAGCCGAGGGCGAAGGCGUCCCUGGGCUAGGGCGGCGCAACCGGGGCCCCCUUGGAUGUCACAUUCGUAGGAAGAGAGAGAAGUCUUGGACCAUGUGUGUAAUUCGAGCGUGGGACUGUGCAAUUCUCGGAUUGGGAAAGGGAGGAGUGGAAAUAACCCCGGCAGUGCCAGGCUUGCUGGUGGUCAGGAACAGAUGAUUCCAGCCCUGUGCUGAUCGCCUGCCUUCCUCCUGCCAUUCAGAAUGCUGCUGUCUCGUGUACUUACUGUUAAGGAUCCUGGAAAAGGGAGUGGUUCCUCCUAGCUGCAAACAAGGGCGCUACUUUUCUUUUCUCUUUAAUAGAAUUACGUUUUAUAGGUGUGUCUAGGCAACACAAGGGAAUGUGAAAGACUUUCAGAGGGAAUGUUUGUGAAUACAUCUGGUGUGUACUAAAAAGCUGGAAAACCCCUAAGUAAAUGCAAUAUCGAUAGAAAGCGAGUUUCUUGAAGAGUCAUCUGCUAAACUCCACUAGAGUCAUCUCUACAGGUGUGGUUAAGAGAAAAAAAAAUUGCCAUUAAGGAAUCAGCAAAUAGGAUGUCUGAAGUGAGGAUAUAGCACCUAUCUCUGAGAUUAAAGUCAUCUGAUCAAAAAUGAUGCCUCUGAGACUAUAACAAAGGAAUGAAUAAUGAAAUAUAAGAAUGGGGAUUCUGCACUAACUCUAUGGGGAAGAAAACAAUGUCUCUGUUCAUCAUGAGAAAUGCUCAGCGACUGCAGACAUAAAGAGAAAGCUUUCAAUUAAAGUUUCAAUGAUGGGAUAGGAACUGAGAAGUCUGUGGAGUUUUCUGCCUAGGAGUACCCUUGGAAAAGCCACUGCUAUGCCCAACCAGCACUGGGAAUCCCAGAUCACAUGCAAUCAUAGGAGUUGCCCUGGAGGCAGAAGCUCAGCACAUGUUCUGGUACAAGGAGAUUACAGUGUUGUGCAAAGCAAAGGGAUGAAUGAUGCCCAACUCUCUAACAUGGGCCUCGGUUUCCACAUCGAGGUUGGAAAUGAGCUAGGAAGCAGAUCCACCAUAAAUGGAGAAAGAAGAGAAACAAGUUGAGCUUUUAAUGACCCCGUAGCCUGACUCUUUGGUAUGGAAAUGGAAAGAGAUCCUCAUGGAAACAUAAAUAAAAUAUAUCACAUGUAACUUAUACCAAUAAUUAUUUUCUCCCCCAGUACCUCAAUUUUGCCCAGAUUGGACUCUAUUUUAUUUCCUUAUUUUUCCACAGUAAUUUACUUAAGUAAAACCAGGAUUUAUUUUAUUCAUCUCCAUGUCAGUUGCUAAGUCCAAGGGAUGUAUAUAGUUUAAAAAAUAUCACAAAGGAUGAUAUGGUGAAAUUGAACAACACAUUAUUACCUGAUGUACAGUCAUUGAUUUUGUAUACUAGCCUUUACCCCUGGCUACUGAUAAUUUUGGAUUUUGAAGAUUCAAAGACAGAGACUUGUAAAUACUUUAGUUUUUACACUUCUUUAUCAUACUCAUACCUGGGAUGGAAAAGUAUCAUUUAAUAUAUUAAGAACAUUGUUAUAGUACAUGUAUUUAAAUAACUCACAAGAGCAAGUAAUCUUACCUCAUGUCAUCUAUUUUUGAAAAAAUAUUUUGUGUAUUUCCACAUGCUUCUUCCAGAUGACCUUUAGCAAAACUUUGUGAAGUUUCAUUGUGGCUGUUGUCUUAGAAAGAUGGUCUUGUUAAUAAGGUCAGUGUUUUAGCCUUGCAAUAUAAGAUUAUGUGCAUUUGUUUAGAGGGAGACUUUAGGAUACAGCGAAGUGUUUUACAAAUGUUUACCAUUUUUAUUCUUAUUAGAUUUUUGAAAGUAUUUGGUUUAAAAUUUUCUUCUUUUUAUUCAACCAGCUCUUUAAAUUACCCAUCAAUUCUUGUUAAGAGUGUGUAUUGUAUAUCUCUCUAUACAUUUCAUGUAUUUUUGUAUGAAUUGUGCUAUUUUUAUAAUUUUUCUAUUUAGCCUCUGUAUCCAAUAUGAUUCAAUGUAUACAUGGAUGCCAUACGUAGGUACUGAUUAUUUCCUCUUUUAUUAUUAAUAAAUUCUAAUUUAUUUCAAUGUGUUAUCUCUGUAAUACAUAAUAUUCUAGACAAUAUUGACUCCAUUUUUUAUGUUUUAGAAUUCCUAAAUUAUAAUUGCACAUAAAUUAAUAUUUUAAUUGUCUUGAUGGACACAGUGUUCUUUUACUAUGCAUUGUAAUAUUUAUCAUCCAAGCUAUACUUUCAAAUGUGUUUUAUUCUCCUCCAUUUUAUAUCUCAGUGAAGGUGUC
rnacentral:lncRNA from 1 species